GAUGAACGCUGGCUACAGGCUUAACACAUGCAAGUCGAGGGGAAACGACGGGGAAGCUUGCUUCCCCGGGCGUCGACCGGCGCACGGGUGAGUAACGCGUAUCCAACCUGCCUCUGACUGAGGGAUAACCCGUCGAAAGUCGGCCUAAUACCUCAUGGUAUCGUCUGCGGGCAUCCAACGACGAUUAAAGAUUUCAUCGGUCAGGGAUGGGGAUGCGUCUGAUUAGCUUGUUGGCGGGGUAACGGCCCACCAAGGCUACGAUCAGUAGGGGUUCUGAGAGGAAGGUCCCCCACAUGGGAACUGAGACACGGUCCAAACGCCUACGGGAGGCAGCAGUGAGGAAUAUUGGUCAAUGGGCGAGAGCCUGAACCAGCCAAGUAGCGUGCAGGAAGACGGCCCUAUGGGUUGUAAACUGCUUUUAUGCGGGGAUAAAGUGAGGGACGUGUCCCUCAUUGCAGGUACCGCAUGAAUAAGGACCGGCUAAUUCCGUG
rnacentral:rRNA from 1 species